CUGCUGUCGUUUCCAUCGGAGGGAUCCCUGGCUGCCAUGUAAACAUGCCGCUGACGUCCCUUACAGGCAGGGUUGGCAGAGGCUGCCAGAAUGAUUGUGGUUUCAGUGGAUUGAGUUCCAGCCGUGGUUUCUUAACCCAACCGGGGUCAAGUCAUCCCCGCUCAAAGCCUGAGUUCUACAGCUAUUGGAAAUUCUCCCUCUCAAGAUAUAUUUCAAAAGUCAAAAUAAAUCACCUCACCUCACACAAAACAAGAAAAAUAAAGGGAAAAAAUCACUUCAAUCUGCACUCAGAGUUCAUCAGUUCUCUCUUUGGAUGUGGAGAGCAUUUUUCAUCAUGAGUCCUUUGGCGUUGUCUUGAUCAGAGUAGGUAAGUCUUUCACAGCUGAUCAUUGUGACAAUGUUGCUCUCCCUGUGUACGAUGUUCUCCUGGUUCUGCUCACUUCACUUUGCAUCAGUUCAUGUAAGUCUUCUGAGGUUUUUCUGAAAUCCAUCUGCUCAUCAUUUAUUUUACCACAAUGAUAUUCCAUCACAAUCAUACACCACAAUGUGUUCGGCCAUUCCCCAAUUGAGAUGCCCUUGACUUUCCAUAUCCCAAAGCCACAAAGCCCUGAGGGGUAGGAGAAAGCUUUCUGGUCUUGGGAUAACCUUCAGAUUUCCAAGACUCUGGAGUCCAGAUGGGAAGCAACUCUACUCUCAUUUCACUCAUAUUUGUGGAAACAACUCAGAUUCCAAAACAAUGGAUCUGGCCUCAAAUACUUCCUAGCUAUGUGUGACCUUGAGUAAGUCACUUAACUUUUGUUUGCCCCAGUUUCCUCAUCUGUAAAAUGGGGAUAAUAAUAGCACCUCCCUCCUAGGGUGUUGUGAGG
rnacentral:lncRNA from 1 species